rnacentral:snRNA from 1 species
GGCUGUGAGGGUGAUCUGUUGGUGAUAUCUGUCAUCCCAUUGAUCGUGAGGUUGAUUUGGCUGAUCUGGCUUUCUAGGCCAGCGUGCUCCUCCCUCACCUCUCCUGUGUACUUUGCCAAAGAUGACACCUUUCCUAGCUAGAGGAGGAGCCUCAGUCAAAGGUAUUGAAGUAGCUGCUCCCCUGCUAGAACCUCCAAGCAUGCUCUCAAAGAAAGCUAUGGAGAGAAGCAUUGCUCAGCAGAUUUCACACUCCCACAUGAAUAUUGUUCUCU